AACGAACGCUGGCGGCAUGCCUAACACAUGCAAGUCGAACGAGACCUCCGGGCUUUGUGGCGCACGGGUGGGUACCGCGUGGUAACCUGCACUUGGGUAAGGAAUACCUCCCCGUGGGGGAUCUUCAUGCAGGUUAAUGUCUUCGGGCCUAAGAUCUCUCGCGUUUGGGUGGGCGCUCGUUGGAUUAGCUGGUUGGUAGGGUAAAAGCAUACCAAGGACAGGAUCCAGGGCUGGUCGGAGAGGAGGAUCAGCCACAAUGGGAAUGAGACACGGCCCAGACUCCGACGGGGGGCAGCAGUGUAGAAUAUUGUACAAGGGGCGAAAGCCUGAUCCAGCAGUGCCGCGUGAGUGAUGAAGGCCUUAGGGUUGUAAAGCUCUUUUACCCGGGAUGAUAAUGACAGUACCGGGAGAAGAAGCACCGGCUAACUCCGUG
rnacentral:rRNA from 1 species